rnacentral:rRNA from 1 species
GAUCAAGUGUCUUAAGGGCAAUUGGUGGAUGCCUUGGCAUGCACAGGCGAUGAAGGACGUGAUACGCUGCGAUAAGCUACGGGGAGGUGCGAAUACCCUUUGAUCCGUAGAUUUCCGAAUGGGGAAACCCACCUAAGGUACUUGGAAAAUCAGAGCAGCCGGAAGGUCGAAAGGCCGACUUGCUGCUGUGGUUUCCAAGUAUCGAUAAUAGGUAACUUACCCUGAAUACAUAGGGGUAAAGUGGCGAACGCGGGGAACUGAAACAUCUAAGUACCCGUAGGAAAGGACAUCAACCGAGACUCCGGAAGUAGUGGCGAGCGAACCCGGACCAGGCCAGUGGCGAUUGAGAGACAAGCGGAACCUUCUGGAAAGUAGGGCCAUAGUGGGUGACAGCCCCGUACGCGUAAUGCAAUCAAUCGUCCUCGAGUAAGGCGGGACACGUGAAAUCCUGUCUGAAAUUGGGGGGACCACCCUCCAAGCCUAAGUACUCGUGCAUGACCGAUAGCGAACUAGUACCGUGAGGGAAAGGUGAAAAGCACCCCGACAAGGGGAGUGAAAGAGUACCUGAAACCGAUUGCCUACAAACAGUGGAAGCCCAAGGUUCGUCCUGGGUGACCACGUACCUUUUGUAUAAUGGGUCAGCGACUUAGUGUGACGAGCAAGCUUAAACCGCUAGGUGUAGGCGCAGCGAAAGCGAGUCUGAAUAGGGCGUUCAGUUCGUCGCAUUAGACCCGAAACCGAGUGAUCUAGCCAUGAGCAGGUUGAAGGUAAGGUAACACUUACUGGAGGACCGAACCCAUAACUGUUGCAAUAGUUCGGGAUGACUUGUGGCUAGGGGUGAAAGGCCAAUCAAACUCGGAAAUAGCUGGUUCUCCGCGAAAUCUAUUUAGGUAGAGCGUCGACCGAAUACCCCAGGGGGUAGAGCACUGGAUGGGCUAGGGGUCCUCACCGGAUUACCAAACCUAACCAAACUCCGAAUACCUGGGAGUACUAGUCGGCAGACACACGGCGGGUGCUAACGUCCGUCGUGAAAAGGGAAACAACCCUGACCUACAGCUAAGGUCCCCAAGUUAUGGCUAAGUGGGAAAGGAUGUGAGGAUCCCAAAACAACCAGGAUGUUGGCUUAGAAGCAGCCAUCAUUUAAAGAAAGCGUAACAGCUCACUGGUCUAAAUAAGGGUCUUUGCGCCGAAAAUGUAACGGGGCUAAAGCCAUACACCGAAGCUUAGGGUUUGGUCCGCAAGGGCCAAGCGGUAGCGGAGCGUUCUGUAAGCUGAUGAAGCCAUACCCGUGAGGGGUGGUGGAGGUAUCAGAAGUGCGAAUGCUGACAUGAGUAACGUAAGGGGAGUGAGAGACUCCCCCGCCGAAAGACCAAGGGUUCCUGCUUAAAGCUAAUCUGAGCAGGGUUAGCCGGCCCCUAAGACGAGGCGGAAACGCGUAGUCGAUGGGAACCACGUUAAUAUUCGUGGGCUUGGAGGUAGUGACGGAUCAUUGAGGUAGUCCAAUCUUAUCGGAUUGAACGGGCUGCUGCGUGGUUCCAGGAAAUAGCUCCUCCUUAUAAACCGUACCCGAAACCGACACUGGUGGUCUGGUAGAGUAUACCAAGGCGCUUGAGAGAACUAUGCUGAAGGAACUCGGCAAAUUGCACGCGUAACUUCGGAAGAAGCGUGACCCUUUUCUACGCAAGUAGAGGAGGGUGGCACAGACCAGGGGGUAGCGACUGUUUAUCAAAAACACAGGGCUCUGCGAAGUCGCAAGACGACGUAUAGGGUCUGACGCCUGCCCGGUGCUGGAAGGUUAAGAGGAGGGGUGCAAGCUCUGAAUCGAAGCCCCAGUAAACGGCGGCCGUAACUAUAACGGUCCUAAGGUAGCGAAAUUCCUUGUCGGGUAAGUUCCGACCUGCACGAAUGGCGUAACGACUUCCCCGCUGUCUCCAGCAUAGACUCAGUGAAAUUGAAUUCCCCGUGAAGAUGCGGGGUUCCUGCGGUUAGACGGAAAGACCCCGUGCACCUUUACUAUAGCUUUACAUUGGCAUUCGUAGUGGCAUGUGUAGGAUAGGUGGUAGGCUUUGAAACCUGGGCGCCAGCUCAGGUGGAGCCACCCUUGAAAUACCACCCUUAUUACUAUGGAUGUCUAACCGCGGCCCGUUAUCCGGGUCCGGGACAAUGUAUGGUGGGUAGUUUGACUGGGGCGGUCGCCUCCUAAAGAGUAACGGAGGCGCGCGAUGGUGGGCUCAGAACGGUCGGAAAUCGUUCGCUGAGUGCAAUGGCAUAAGCCUGCCUGACUGCGAGACUGACAAGUCGAGCAGAGACGAAAGUCGGUCAUAGUGAUCCGGUGGUCCCGCGUGGAAGGGCCAUCGCUCAACGGAUAAAAGGUACGCCGGGGAUAACAGGCUGAUGACCCCCAAGAGUCCAUAUCGACGGGGUUGUUUGGCACCUCGAUGUCGACUCAUCGCAUCCUGGGGCUGGAGCAGGUCCCAAGGGUAUGGCUGUUCGCCAUUUAAAGCGGUACGUGAGUUGGGUUCAGAACGUCGUGAGACAGUUCGGUCCCUAUCUGCCGUGGGUGUAGGAAUAUUGAAAGGAUCUGUCCCUAGUACGAGAGGACCGGGAUGGACGGAUCUCUGGUGGACCUGUUGUGGCGCCAGCCGCAUAGCAGGGUAGCUAUAUCCGGACGGGAUAACCGCUGAAGGCAUCUAAGCGGGAAACCCACCUUAAAACGAGUAUUCCCUGAGAACCGUGGAAGACGACCACGUUGAUAGGCCGGGUGUGGAAGAGCGGCAACGCUUGAAGCUUACCGGUACUAAUAGUUCGAUCGGCUUGAUCGUUCUCAUU